CGUAGGGAGCAAGGCGUUGUCCGGAAUCAUUGGGCGUAAAGCGCGCGUAGGUGGCCCGGUAAGUCCGCUCUGAAAGUCAAAGGCUCAACCUUUGAAAGCGGGUGGAUACUGCCAGGCUAGAGUCCGGAAGAGGCGAGUGGAAUUCCUGGUGUAGCGGUGGAAUGCGCAGAUAUCAGGAGGAACACCAACGGCGAAGGCAGCUCGCUGGGACGGUACUGACACUGAGGCGCGAAAGCGUGGGGAGCAAACAGGAUUAGAUACCCUGGUAGUCCACGCCGUAAACGAUGGGAACUAGGUGUGGGAGGUGUCGACUCCUCCCGUGCCGGCGCUAACGCAUUAAGUUCCCCGCCUGGGGAGUACGGCCGCAAGGCUA
rnacentral:rRNA from 1 species